UGGCAUUGACAUGUCCUUGAGAAUUUACCCU
rnacentral:piRNA from 1 species